UACAGAGGUCCCAAGCGUUGUUCGGAUUCACUGGGCGUAAAGGGUGCGUAGGUGGCGAGGUAAGUUUGAUGUGAAAUCUCCGGGCUUAACCCGGAAAUGGCAUUGAAUACUAUCUGGCUCGAGGGUUGGAGGGGGGACUGGAAUUCUCGGUGUAGCAGUGAAAUGCGUAGAUAUCGGGAGGAACACCUGUGGCGAAGGCGGCCCCCUGGUUGGAUACUGACGCUGAGACGCGAAAGCGUGGGGAGCAAACAGG
rnacentral:rRNA from 1 species